rnacentral:lncRNA from 1 species
GGAGUAUUUAUGCUUCUAUUUGAGUGCCCAUCCAAUCGGUGCAAAUAGCGAAAGGGAACCUUAUUCUCCAACUCGGAGCAAUUAAGUUUUUGAAAUUUCGGGAGGUUUUGCUUUAAGUUUUUUUAUAACGAUUUAAGAAAAAAUACCAUUUAUGCAUACGAGUUUUGUUUACAUGAAUUUAACAUUGAUUUCCGGCCAAAAUUCAAGCGCUAGCUGAACAUAUUUCGAAAGGUCAUAUUCCUCAAUCGAUGACUGUUCAUUUUAGAGAACUUACCAGGAAGGUUGGUGAUAUUUGACUUUUCUACUUUCUUUCUAAAGGAACCAUAUCAUAAUUUGCAUGUAUAGCUACAAAUUCUUGUUCAUAGCAUUUGGGGCUAGGCUGGAUUCUUUAUUAUGCAGUAUAUUCUUUUUAAAGCAUUGUUUUAUUGAAAUGCAUAUUUUCGAAAUACAAAACUUGUCAUUUUCUGAGUAACUCCACUGUAUCAGAGCUAAUUUCAAAAAGAGGAAUAGUGGACUAUGUAGUUACUGUUUUAUUUGUUAGAGCAAAAUUUUCUUGGUAGGUGCUUUUGAUGGUUCCAGUACUCAUUGCUGUUCUUGUACAUGUUAAUGUGUGUCCUACACAUGCAAUAUAGCUUGUUUGCUUGUAGAGUUCUCUAAUGCUCGAACUCUUCAAAAAAGUUGGAGUACUCGUGUCAAAUAUGAUACGACAUAGGUAUGGGUAUGAGAUAUGUGUUGGAUUCUCCAGAUUUCAAUCGGAUACUAAAACGUUUUUGUCGCUUCUUUUUUUUUUUCCUUCUCCUUUUCUUUCUUGUUUCUGCUAUCUAUAAAUCUAACGUCACCUCUGAGAGAGUGGAGAAAGGCGAUAGCGCUAUAUUUUCCCUUCUUCUUCUUAUUUCUUUCCAUUUUUUUUUUCUUUUCUUUCCUUCUUUUCCUCUCUGUAUCAGUGGUAUAAGGUUUUGUUUGUAUAAAAUGAAAAAGGGUUCCAUAUAAUGUUACUUAGUGCUCUACUAAGUCAAAAUGACAAUCAAGU